rnacentral:rRNA from 1 species
UACGUAGGGGGCGAGCGUUGUCCGGAGUUACUGGGCGUAAAGGGCAUGCAGGCGGUCGUACGCGUUUCGGGUGACAGCGGGUGGCUUAACUACCCGAGUGUUCGAAAGACGGUACGACUUGAGGGCUCGAGAGGGACACGGAAUUCCGGGUGGAGUGGUGAAAUGCGUAGAGAUCCGGAGGAAUACCAAAGGCGAAGGCAGUGUCCUGGCUGGUAUCUGACGCUCAGGUGCGAAAGCUAGGGGAGCGAACGGG